GCCCAAGUAGCUCAGUUAGUAGAGCGGCUGAUUGAAGAUCAGCAUGUCCUCGGCGCGAAUCCGAGCUUCGGGCG
rnacentral:tRNA from 1 species